CACUCCUGCGGAGGCAGCAGUGGGGAAUAUUGGACAAUGGGCGCAAGCCUGAUCCAGCCAUGCCGCGUGAGUGAUGAAGGCCCUAGGGUUGUAAAGCUCUUUCACCGGAGAAGAUAAUGACGGUAUCCGGAGAAGAAGCCCCGGCUAACUUCGUGCCAGCAGCCGCGGUAAUACGAAGGGGGCUAGCGUUGUUCGGAAUUACUGGGCGUAAAGCGCACGUAGGCGGAUCGAUCAGUCAGGGGUGAAAUCCCAGGGCUCAACCCUGGAACUGCCUUUGAUACUGUCGAGCUGGAGUAUGGAAGAGGUGAGUGGAAUUCCGAGUGUAGAGGUGAAAUUCGUAGAUAUUCGGAGGAACACCAGUGGCGAAGGCGGCUCACUGGUCCAUUACUGACGCUGAGGUGCGAAAGCGUGGGGAGCAAACAGGAUUAGAAACCCCGGUAGUCCCAUGAU
rnacentral:rRNA from 1 species